GAUGAACGCGGCGGCGUGCCUAACACAUGCAAGUCGAACGGAGAUUACGGACGGAAGUUUUCGGAUGGAAGCCUGUAAUUCUUAGUGGCGGACGGGUGAGUAACGCGUGGGCAACCUGCCCUAUACAGGGGGAUAGCAGCUGGAAACGGCUGGUAAGACCGCAUAAGUCGGUUAAAUCGCAUGAUUUGAUCGGGAAAUGAGCAAUCAGGUAUAGGAUGGGCCCGCGUCCGAUUAGCCAGUUGGCAGGGUAAAAGCCUACCAAAGCGACGAUCGGUAGCCGGACUGAGAGGUCGGACGGCCACAUUGGGACUGAGACACGGCCCAAACUCCUACGGGAGGCAGCAGUGGGGGAUAUUGCACAAUGGAGGAAACUCUGAUGCAGCGACGCCGCGUGAGUGAAGAAGUAUUUCGGUAUGUAAAGCUCUAUCAGCAGGGAAGAUGAUGACGGUACCUGACUAAGAAGCCCCGGCUAACUACGUGCCAGCAGCCGCGGUAAUACGUAGGGGGCAAGCGUUAUCCGGAUUUACUGGGUGUAAAGGGAGCGCAGGCGGUUUUGCAAGUUAAGAGUGGAAGCAGGGGGCUCAACCCCCUGACUGCUCCCAAAACUGUAAAACUUGAGUAUGGGAGAGGCAGGCGGAAUUCCUAGUGUAGCGGUGAAAUGCUUAGAUAUUAGGAAGAACACCGGUGGCGAAGGCGGCCUGCUGGACCAAAACUGACGCUGAGGCUCGAAAGCGUGGGUAGCAAACAGG
rnacentral:rRNA from 1 species